GUCGAAGCAGACAAGAUGCGAUCACAGUGUAUAAAUAAGGGAAACACUCGCUCGAUCCUUGUUUGAAAGUAGCCAUCAUGCAGCUGAAGGUUCUGGUACUGUUGGCAGGCGUCAUUGCAGUUGCCUGUGAAGAGACGCCGGUGACGAUCGAGUGGCCACCGCGUCCGCGGGCGUGCGGUGAAGGCGAGACGUGGAAGCAGUGCGUGAGCGGCAGCUGCGCCGAGGCCACCUGCGCUCGGCCACAGGUGGGGCCGCAGUGCACCUCCGACUGCCGCUACGGCUGCUACUGCGCCGACGGUUUCUACCGGAACGAGCAGAAGGUGUGCGUCACCCGCGACAGGUGCCCGUAGCAGUGGUCGCCGAGCAAGACAUCGAGGCCAUGUGAUCACCAUGGCCUGCGUCUACCCCUGCGAAUUUCAAAUAAAGUUUCCUUGAAACAGU